GACGAACGCUGGCGGCGUGCUUAACACAUGCAAGUCGAACGGAAAGGCCCUGCUUUUGUGGGGUGCUCGAGUGGCGAACGGGUGAGUAACACGUGAGUAACCUGCCCUUUACUUUGGGAUAACUUCAGGAAACUGGGGCUAAUACCGGAUAGGAGCUCCUGCUGCAUGGUGGGGGUUGGAAAGUUUCGGCGGUUGGGGAUGGACUCGCGGCUUAUUAGCUUGUUGGUGGGGUAGUGGCUUACCAAGGCUUUGACGGGUAGCCGGCCUGAGAGGGUGACCGGCCACAUUGGGACUGAGAUACGGACCAGACUCGUACGGGAGGCAGCAGUGGGGAAUAUUGCACAAUGGGCGGAAGCCUGAUGCAGAGACGCCGCGUGCGGGAUGACGGCCUUCGGGUUGUAAACCGCUUUAGCCUGUGACGAAGCGUGAGUGACGGUAAUGGGUAAAGAAGCACCGGCUAACUACGUG
rnacentral:rRNA from 1 species